rnacentral:lncRNA from 1 species
UCAACAUUGGCUUCGCCCAAUCGCUGCAGAGUCCUGCGUGUCGUAGGCACCCUAGUUCCGCGCAAGCGCAAACAGUCACAGCCGAAGCGAAUUGAUCUGUUGGUGCGACUCGAGAGUGGGGAAACGAGGCUUCCCUAGGUCCCAGGUUUCUGGCGGACUGUAGCAGGAGCGCUAACCGAGCUUUAGCUCCUCCGAGGCGGAUAGAGAGAAGUUGGCUCUCGGUGGAGAAGCGGAGUACGGCGGUGCCAGCGGGUCGAUCAGCAAUGCCGAGUUCCCAGACUCUCAGCGGGGCGACAGGACUGCUUUGGGCCAUAUCCGGACCGGGGAUGUGCUUUAAAACGUCGUGUGUUCAGAAGUGUUAGGACAAAGUUAGCUUUACAUAUCGCUACGUAGCUAGGGAGCUAGCUAACUAGCCUAAACUACGAUAACGUUACUUGAUACAGUUUAGGAUUGGAAGCUAACCUAGCUUAGCUAGUUGGCAUAGUUUAAGCUAGUUAUUUAGCAUAACGUACCUAGGUUACUUGAGUUAGCAAACCCAACUAACAGUCAUAGAAGUUUAGAAACUGAAACCAAGCGUGUUAUAAAUAGCCAUGGAGCGUUUUCCUAACUUUUCCUGUUCAAGUUUAUUAGUUUAACAAAACAAUAUGCUACCAUUUAAUUAAUUGGUGAACCUUGGCUAUCUUAGCUCGCCUAGUUUGUCCCAGUUAGCUAGCUAGCUAGCCAUUAGGUUACCUAGGUUACUCAAAUUUAGGUAAGCUAGUUAUCUUGGCUAGUUAACUAACUAGCUAAGCUAAGUCUUAAAAAGUUAAGAAACUUAAAAUAAGCGUGUUACAGAUAGCUAUUGAGCUUUUUUCCUAACCUUUACUGUUUAAGUUUAUUAUUUUUACAAAAUAAUUUGCUACCACUUGAUUGGUGAAACUUAGCUAAGUUAUCUAUCUAGCCUAGUGUGUCCGUAUUAGUUAACAAGCUCGCUACCUAGAUUAACGUUACUUGAGUUAGCAAAGUUAACUAGUUUAGUUGGUUGGUUAUCUUGGCUAGUUAACUAACUAGCUAAGCUAACAGUUUAGACGUUUAGAAACUGAAACCAAGCUCAAAAAUAGGUAUGGAGCUUUUUCCUAAUUUUUCCUGUUUCAGUUUAUUAGUUUAACAAAACAGUUUCCCACCAUUUGAUUGGUGAACCCCAUGAAAUAGCCACGUUAAACAGAACAAGGUGUUCCAGAACAGAGAACAGCGUCCGCCUGCCUGCUUUCUUUCCAGCUAACUACAUAACCCCAACUACAAGCCCACACUUGCCCACUUGCAGUCUUAGUGUUGCUUGCUGGAGCUAUCUAUCUAAGCGUUAACACCUCUCCCACAAGCUAA